UACGUAGGUGGGCAAAGCGUUGUCCCGGAUUUUACUGGGCGUAAAGGGGCGUGCAGGCGGUCUGUUAAGUCUAGGGUGAAAGCUCCCGGCUCAACUGGGAGAGGUCCUUGGAUACUGGCAGACUUGAGGAGAGUAGAGGAGAGUGGAAUUCCCCGGUGUAGUGGUGAUAUGCGUAGAUAUCGGGGAGGAACACCCAGUGGCGAAGGCGGCUCUCUGGGCUCUACCUGACGCUGAGACGCGAAAGCGUGGG
rnacentral:rRNA from 1 species